rnacentral:lncRNA from 1 species
GCAACGGUCCAGAAGACAUUUGGCAAAACCCGAAGCACAGAAUUUCUCUCCCGCUGCGCUCUGGUGCCUUUCGCGGCGUCCAGCGGGUUCUGGGCAGCGUGGAGCCGGCGCUCAGCACAUCCGCGUGGGCAGAGCCGGCUCAGAGCGGUUUCCACGGCAACCGCGAGGACUACGGCACUGUUCAUUCUGGCGACGUUGGCCCUUUGGUCAUCAAUCACAGAGGCUGCCCAGCAGGUGGUCAGCGUCUCUGCAGUGGUCGGGGAAUGUGGGGACCGGAACCCUUGUGCAGAUGAGAAGACGGAGCUGAACUGGUCCAGAGGACCCACGGGUGGUAAGGGACACUCCGGGCCACAGGGCCAGGCAGGGCUGAGGUGUGGCCAGUCUCUCUCUGGCCCUUCUCUCUGUCCUCUUCAUGAGAUCCACUAGGAAUUGUUUCCCUCUUUGGCAGUGCCGGGGUUGGGACCCCAGGCUUCCUGCGUGCCAGGCAAGCGCUCUACCGCUGAGCUACCCUGCUGCCCUGUUACGGUUCACGGAAGCCAGCCCAGCCAUGGAGGAGACACGAAGGCUGCUUUCAUUUUAAUAUUGGAGCUAAUAUAUAGUACAGCGCUGCACACAGGAAUGUCUGUGCCUCUCUGACUGUUUCUUUAGAAGCUCUCAGAGGUUUCUGGGCUGAGCCUGUUGGUGCGUGCCUGUAAUCUCAGCUCUCUGGGAGGCUGAGGCAGGAGGAUUGAAAAUUUGGAGAAUUUGAACCUAGCCCAGGUAACUUAGUAACUUAAUGAGACCCUGUCUCAAAAUAAAUAAUAAAAAAGCGCUGGAUUGUAGCUCAGUGCCGAGGUCCGGGGUUCAACCCCCAAAACCAUUAAAAAUAAUAAAAGAGGAUAAGUUAGGGAGCCUUCAGUCCUGCAUGCCCUUGGUGACCUGUCCCUCCAGGUGGGCCUAGGGCCCCAGGGCCGAGGUACAGGGCGGCCUUGACCUCCCUGGGCCACAGCAGGACGCCACGCUGGAGGCCCCAGGCCUGUGGGCCCCCCAGCAGGGCGUAUCCUGCUUGGCUCACCUCCCCUUCCCUGGAGCUCAGCGCCCCCUGGACAAAGGCUGGGCGUCCCUGGGGUGCGUGGUUUCCGGUCACCCCGACUCACUAAGCCCCCUCUUCCGCACGCGUCUCGCUCUCAGGGCUGGAAGCGGAGCACGCGGUGCUUCCCCGGACGUCACAGGCGUCGUGGCCUUGCCUUCCUCCCUCCGGGCUUCACCCUCUCUUCCUGCUCCGAUCUCCUGGGUUUGCGUCCGUGCCCACCGCCCUGUGG